GGGGGUGAACAGGUUCGACAGGAGCCGUUCAUCCGGGAUGUCGCAGGCCCUGGUUGGCCAGAGCCAGGUAAAAAUCCGGCCAAAACACAAAAGCCAACACUCCGUUGGCCUGGGCCACUGCCUAAACCGCAGUGAGUCCACGUUGGUCCUCGACGCCUGCUAGGGGGUCGCCAACGUCAUGAGCAGGCUGGGUGAACAGGCGCCCGUUCCGUCGCGGGUUCACCGAGACCAAUACGGAGCUGGCCGGGGGAUACUCGUCCGCAGGUUUUCUCCCGGCGAGACAAAAAGCGGACUAAGCCUGUAGUGGCCCCGGAGGCCGUCUCUUGGACGAGGGUGCGAUUCCCUCCACCUCCACCA
rnacentral:tmRNA from 1 species